rnacentral:tRNA from 1 species
GGCCAGUUAGCUCAGUUGGUAGAGCAGCGGACUGAAAAUCCGCGUGUCCUUGGUUCAAUUCCGAGACUGGCCACCA